rnacentral:rRNA from 1 species
CCCUUAGAUGUUCUGGGCCGCACGCGUGCUACACUGAGUGGAUCAGCGGGUCAGGUUGCGCGAAAGUGUUUCCUAAUCUUGAAAUCCGCUCGUGAUGGGGAUUGACGGUUGCAAUUUUCCGUCAUGAACGAGGAAUACCUUGUAAGCGCGGGUCAUCAUCCCGCGCUGAAUACGUCCCUGCCCUUUGUACACACCGCCCGUCGCUCCUACCGAUUGAGUGGUCCGGUGAGGCUUUGGGAUCUGAGCGGAAAGAGCGUUUCGCUGUUUCUGCUCGGAAAACUCAGUCGAACCUUAUCAUUUAGAGGAAGGAGAAGUCGCAACA